rnacentral:lncRNA from 1 species
CGGAAUCUCUGGAACCUUUGGUAGCUCAGGCUUUGGGAUCUCUGGAACCUUUGGUAGCUCAGGCUUUGGAAUCUCUGGGAGCUUUGGCAACUCUGGCUUCUGAAUCUCUGGCACCUUAGGAGCCUCAGGCUUUUGAAUCUCUGGCAUCUUGGGUAACUCAGGCUUUGGAACCUCUGGUACCUUAGGCAACUCCGGUUUCUUAAUCUCCGGCAUCUUUGGCAGCUCCGGUUUCUGAAUCUCUGGCAUCUUAGGAAACUCAGGCUUUGGAAUCUCUGGUAUCUUUGGUAACUCGGGCUUUGAAAUCUCCGGCAACUUAGGAGCCUCAAGCUUCGGAACUUCCGGAAUCUUUG